ACCUACGGGGGGCAGCAGUGGGGGAUAUUGCCCAAUGGGGGGAACCCUGAUGCAGCGACGCCGCGUGAGUGAAGAAGCGCUUCGGCGCGUAAAGCCCUGUCAGCAGGGAAGAAAAUGACGGUACCUGAAGAAGAAGCCCCGGCUAACUACGUGCCAGCAGCCGCGGUAAUACGUAGGGGGCAAGCGUUAUCCGGAUUUACUGGGUGUAAAGGGGGCGCAGACGGCGAUGCAAGCCAGGAGUGAAAACCCGGGGCCCAACCCCGGGACUGCUCUUGGAACUGCGUGUCUAGAGUGUCGGAGGGGCG
rnacentral:rRNA from 1 species